UACGUAGGGGGCAAGCGUUGUCCGGAUUUAUUGGGCGUAAAGAGCUCGUAGGCGGUUUGGUAAGUCAGGUGUGAAAUCUCCACGCUCAACGUGGAGGGGCCACCUGAUACUGCCAUGACUGGAGUCCGGUAGAGGAGUGUGGAAUUCCCGGUGUAGCGGUGAAAUGCGCAGAUAUCAGGAGGAACACCAGUGGCGAAGGCGGCCGCCUGGGCCUGGCCUGACGCUGAGGCGCGAAAGCGUGGGGAGCGAUCCGG
rnacentral:rRNA from 1 species